rnacentral:rRNA from 1 species
GGACCAAGGAGUGCAAAAAGUUGGCAAGCAGUAAGGUGGCGCAAACCAUAAGGCUCACCGAAAGGAUACGGUAGCUCCGUCUACCUCUCAUCGGAACGAUGGCGCGCCUCGAGCGCGCCCGCAAUUCCUAGGCAGUCUCUGACUCGCUUCGGCGAGAUGAGCUGUCGAUUAGCUCACUUUUUGCUACCCGAAAGAUGGUGAACUAUGCGAAAUAAGAGCGAAUCUAGGGGAAACCCUGGUGGAGGUUCAUAGUGCUUCUGACGUGCAAAUCGAUCCUGCUAGUCUCGCAUAGGGGCGAAAGACCAAUCGAACUAUCUAGUAGCUGGUUCCAUUCGAAGUUUCCCUCAGGAUAGCUGGACCGGCGUCAGUCUCAUGAGAUAAAGCGAAUGAUUAGAGGUAUUGGGGUCGAAACGAUUUCAACCUAUUCUCAAACUUUAAAUGUGUGAGUACUGUGAACUUGCAAACGAACGAGUCUUCGUAAGAAGUCACAGACAGAUGCAAGGUCCAAGUGGGCCAUUUUUGGUAAGCAGAACUGGCGAUGUGGGAUGAACCAAGAGCUAGGUUAAAGUGCCUAAAAUCACACGAACCAGAUACCACAAAAGGCGUUAGUAACUGGAGAUAGUGGGGCAGUGGCCAUGGAAGUCGGA